rnacentral:rRNA from 1 species
GACGAACGCUGGCGGCGUGCCUAAUACAUGCAAGUAGAACGCUGAAGGAGGAGCUUGCUUCUCUGGAUGAGUUGCGAACGGGUGAGUAACGCGUAGGUAACCUGCCUGGUAGCGGGGGAUAACUAUUGGAAACGAUAGCUAAUACCGCAUAAUAGUAGAUGUCGCAUGACAUUUGCUUAAAAGGUGCAAUUGCAUCACUACCAGAUGGACCUGCGUUGUAUUAGCUAGUUGGUGAGGUAACGGCUCACCAAGGCAACGAUACAUAGCCGACCUGAGAGGGUGAUCGGCCACACUGGGACUGGGACACGGCCCAGACUCCUACGGGAGGCAGCAGUAGGGAAUCUUCGGCAAUGGACGGAAGUCUGACCGAGCAACGCCGCGGGAGUGAAGAAGGUUUUCGGAUCGUAAAGCUCUGUUGUAAGAGAAGAACGAGUGUGAGAGUGGAAAGUUCACACUGUGACGGUAUCUUACCAGAAAGGGACGGCUAACUACGUG